rnacentral:rRNA from 1 species
GACGAACGCUGGCGGCGUGCUUAACACAUGCAAGUCGAACGGAAAGGCCCUGCUUUUGUGCGGUGCUCGAGUGGCGAACGGGUGAGUAACACGUGAGUAACCUGCCCUUGACUUUGGGAUAACUUCAGGAAACUGGGGCUAAUACCGGAUAGGAGCUCCUGUUGCAUGGUGGGGGUUGGAACGUUUCGGCGGUUGGGGAUGGACUCGCGGCUUAUCAGCUUGUUGGUGGGGUAGUGGCUUACCAAGGCUUUGAAGGGUAGCCGGCCUGAGAGGGUGACCGGCCACAAGGGGACUGAGGUACGGCCCAGACUCCUACGGGAGGCAGCAGUGGGGAAUAUUGCACAAUGGGCCGAAGCCUGAUGCAGAAACGCCGGGUUCGUAAUGACGGCUUUUGGGUUGUAAACCGCUGUCGCCUGUGACGAAGCGUGAGUGACGGUAAUGAGUAAAGAAGCACCGGCUAACUACGUG